UACAGAGGUCUCAAGCGUUGUUCGGACUCAUUGGGCGUAAAGGGUGCGUAGGUGGCGCUGUAAGUCAGGUGUGAAAUUUCGGAGCUUAACUCCGAAACUGCAUUUGAUACUGCGGUGCUUGAGGACUGGAGAGGAGACUGGAAUUUACGGUGUAGCAGUGAAAUGCGUAGAGAUCGUAAGGAAGACCGGUGGCGAAGGCGGGUCUCUGGGCCGGUACUGACGCUAAGGAGCGAAAGCGUGGGGAGCGAACAGG
rnacentral:rRNA from 1 species